UAUGAACUUGAGACUCAUUAUAGUAAAUCGUAUCAGAAGGCAAUAAUCCAAUAAUAUACUUCGUGAUAAUUUUACAAUCGGCUAGAGCAAGUCCUCCUUUUCUCAUCUCAUGCUAAUUAUCUUUUGUCAAGACAACAUUGAGCUUUUGUUAUCAUGUGUCAUUAUUGCUAUUCACUCUUGUAAUGCAUAUUGUGUUAAGUGAUCUACAAUGAAGGAUUAGUUUCCAAAUUUGACUGACAUGUAUAUUAAUUUGUUUUCAUGCUCUUCUUGGUUAGAGUUCAAAUGACUGGGAUAGUUAUCUGUGGGCAGAUUUAAGCUGACGGCCAACUUUAAUCCUUUCAAGGCAAUUGCAGGAUUUGCAGCAAAGGGGUAUUGGUGACAUCAGGUGAUUUCCCAUCAUUGUUUUGGAAUGGUCAAUCAUGAUUUCUAAAAAUUAUUUUUUGCUAAGAGUUUUUCAAAAUUUUAUUACUGUAUAUUGUAGAAUAUAUUUAUCAUCAUCAAUUACUAGUUUUAAAAAUAUUUUUCCCAUUUUAUUUUUAUUGUUAUUUUUUAAGUUUUUAAAUGAGCAUGGCUGGCUAGUUUUAGAACUCCUGCCAGUUCUUUCCCAGCAAAUUUCUGUUCCACCUAUUAAGCUCUAUGCUGUCUCUUAUUGGCAGAUAAAGCA
rnacentral:lncRNA from 1 species